AAAGAAGCAGGGAAGAGAAGAGUACCCGUGCAGGAAUGGCAAAGAGAGCUCCCAGUGGUGAGAAGGAGCACAGGAAAGCAUGGAGAAGAUGGCCUCUGAGCUUGAUAUGCUGAAUGGUGAAGCAGUCCGGGAGUCUCCCGUUACAGAGACAGGGUAUCAAGGCAUGGCCGGCGUACCUGUGAGGUCUUUCCGGUGACGGAAAGAUGAAAUUGGGUGGUAACACGAGGAUCUCGUCCCUUAG
rnacentral:ncRNA from 1 species